rnacentral:misc_RNA from 1 species
AACCUAGCACACCUGCGGUGUGUACCUGCGGAAGGAUCAUUAUAGAGUUUUCUAAACUCCCAAACCCAUGUGAACUUACCAUUGUUGCCUCGGCAGAACCUACCCGGUACCUACCCUGGAACUAGCUACCCUGUAGCUACCCAGGAACGGGCUACCCUGUAACGUCCUGCCGGUGGACUUCUAAACUCUUGUUAUUUAUAGUAAUCUGAGCGUCUUAUUUUAAUAAGUCAAAACUUUUAA